UGCACGGUGGAUUAGUGGUUAUCGUGUGUGCCUUACACCUCCAGGUUUGGGGGUUCGAUUCCCGCCAUUGCUC